GAGAAGCCCGGAUCGAAGCGCAGGGUGGCAGCCCCGGCGCCGGGGAAUGUGACGAUUUCUUGGCUGUGCAGUGGUACCGUCGGGGCCUGGGCCGCGAAGGAUCUGCCACAGCUGCAACAUGGGCGGCAAGAACAAGAAACACAAGGCUCCAGCGGCCGCGGUGGUCCGGGCCGCCGUGUCUGCUUCCAGAGCCAAAUCUGCCGAGGCUGGAAUUGCCGGGGAGGCCCAAAGCAAGAAGCCGGUGUCCAGGCCGGCCACCGCUGCCAGCGCCAGGGAGCCCCGUGUCAAGCAAGGUCCAAAAAUUUAUAGUUUUAAUUCUACAAAUGAUUCUAGUGGUCCUGCAAAUCUGGAUAAAUCUAUUUUGAAAGUGGUAAUUAAUAACAAACUAGAGCAGAGAAUUAUUGGAGUGAUCAAUGAGCAUAAAAAGCAAAAUAAUGACAAAGGAAUGAUUUCUGGAAGACUUACUGCCAAAAAAUUGCAGGAUUUAUACAUGGCUUUACAAGCAUUUUCAUUUAAGACAAAGGACAUUGAAGAUGCCAUGACCAAUACACUCUUAUAUGGAGGUGACCUUCAUUCUGCCUUGGAUUGGCUCUGUUUAAACCUUUCAGAUGAUGCACUUCCUGAAGGAUUCAGUCAGGAAUUUGAAGAGCAACAACCUAAAAGUAGGCCUAAAUUUCAGUCUCCUCAAACACAAGCCACUAUUUCACCUCCAUUGCAAACUAAAACAAAAACAUAUGAAGAAGACCCUAAGAGUAAGCCAAAAAAGGAAGAAAAAAAUAUGGAAGUAAAUAUGAAAGAGUGGAUUUUACGAUAUGCUGAACAACAAAAUGAAGAAGAAAAGAAUGAGAAUUCUAAAAGUUUAGAAGAGGAGGAAAAAUUUGACCCUAACGAAAGGUACUUACAUCUUGCAGCAAAACUGCUGGAUGCAAAAGAACAAGCAGCUACCUUUAAACUAGAAAAAAACAAGCAAGGCCAAAAAGAGUCUCAGGAAAAAAUAAGGAAAUUUCAAAGAGAAAUGGAAACUUUAGAAGACCAUCCAGUAUUUAACCCAGCCAUAAAGAUUUCACAUCAACAAAAUGAAAGGAAAAAGCCUCCUGUAGCCACAGAAGGAGAAAGUGCAUUGAAUUUUAAUUUAUUUGAAAAAUCUGCAGCUGCUACUGAAGAAGAGAAAGAUAAAAAGAAAGAACCUCAUGAUGUAAGAAAUUUUGACUAUACUGCUCGAAGUUGGACUGGAAAAUCUCCAAAACAAUUUCUGAUUGAUUGGGUCAGGAAGAAUCUUCCCAAGAGUCCAAAUCCUUCCUUUGAAAAAGUUCCAGUAGGUAGAUACUGGAAAUGUAGGGUUAGGGUAAUCAAGUCUGAAGAUGAUGUCCUGGUAGUGUGCCCUACAAUCUUAACAGAAGAUGGCAUGCAAGCUCAGCACCUGGGAGCUACUUUAGCCCUUUAUCGUUUAGUUAAAGGGCAGUCAGUUCAUCAGUUACUUCCUCCCACUUACCGAGAUGUUUGGCUGGAGUGGAGUGAUGCAGAAAAGAAAAGGGAAGAAUUAAAUAAAAUGGAAACCAAUAAACCACGUGAUCUUUUUAUUGCCAAACUUCUGAAUAAACUGAAACAGCAGCAACAGCAGCAACAACAGCAUUCUGAAAAUAAGAGAGAAAACUCUGAAGAUCCCGAGGAAUCUUGGGAAAAUUUAGUUUCGGAUGAGGAUUUUUCUGCACUGUCCUUGGAAUCAGCAAAUGUGGAAGAUUUGGAACCUGUUAGAAACCUCUUUAGAAAGUUGCAAAGCACACCUAAGUAUCAGAGACUUCUAAAGGAAAGACAACAGUUACCUGUAUUUAAACAUCGGGACUCAAUUGUUGAAACUCUUAAAAGGCACCGGGUAGUGGUUGUGGCAGGUGAAACAGGGAGUGGUAAAAGUACUCAGGUACCACAUUUUCUAUUAGAAGAUUUGCUUCUAAAUGAGUGGGAAGCAAGUAAAUGUAACAUUGUCUGUACCCAACCCCGAAGAAUCUCAGCAGUUAGUUUAGCCGGCAGAGUAUGUGAUGAAUUGGGCUGUGAAAAUGGACCUGGAGGAAGGGUAAGCUGUCAUUCAACUCCACCUCAGUGAAUGAUGGUGACAUUACUCACCUUUGCUUUUGUGAUCCAAAUGGAAUGUGUACCAUAUAAUUCCUUGUGUGGAUAUCAGAUCCGGAUGGAAUCCCGAGCUUGUGAAUCUACCAGGUUACUGUAUUGUACAACAGGGGUUUUGCUAAGGAAACUUCAAGAAGAUGGUCUUCUAAGUAAUGUGUCUCAUGUUAUUGUAGAUGAGGUUCAUGAAAGAAGUGUCCAAUCAGACUUCCUACUAAUUAUCUUGAAGGAAAUUUUACAGAAACGUUCUGAUCUACACUUGAUUCUAAUGAGUGCCACUGUGGACAGCGAAAAAUUUUCUACAUAUUUCACACACUGCCCCAUUCUCAGAAUUUCAGGAAGAAGUUAUCCUGUUGAGGUUUUUCAUCUUGAAGAUAUAAUAGAAGAAACAGGCUUUGUACUGGAAAAAGACUCAGAAUAUUGUCAGAAGUUUCUGGAAGAGGAAGAAGAAGUAACCAUUAAUGUUACAAGCAAAGCAGGGGGAAUAAAAAAAUAUCAGGAAUACAUCCCAGUUCAGACUGGAGCACAUGCUGAUUUAAAUCCAUUUUACCAAAAGUACAGCAGCCGCACUCAGCAUGCUAUUCUAUACAUGAAUCCUCAUAAAAUCAACCUGGAUCUCAUUUUGGAACUUCUUGCAUACUUAGAUAAAAGUCCCCAAUUCAGAAAUAUUGAAGGAGCAGUAUUGAUCUUUUUACCAGGCCUUGCUCAUAUUCAGCAGUUGUAUGAUCUUCUAUCAAAUGACAGAAGAUUUUAUUCUGAACGAUAUAAAGUGAUAGCUCUGCAUUCUAUUCUUUCAACCCAAGAUCAAGCUGCAGCAUUCACACUUCCUCCUCCAGGAGUCAGGAAGAUUGUUUUAGCAACCAAUAUUGCAGAGACGGGUAUCACUAUUCCUGAUGUUGUAUUUGUAAUUGAUACUGGAAGAACAAAAGAAAAUAAGUACCAUGAAAGCAGUCAGAUGAGUUCUUUGGUGGAGACGUUUGUCAGUAAAGCCAGUGCUUUGCAGCGCCAGGGAAGAGCUGGGCGGGUCAGAGAUGGCUUCUGUUUCCGAAUGUACACAAGAGAAAGAUUUGAAGGCUUUAUGGAUUAUUCUGUUCCUGAAAUCUUACGUGUACCUUUGGAGGAAUUAUGCCUUCAUAUUAUGAAAUGUAAUCUUGGUUCUCCUGAAGAUUUCCUCUCCAAAGCCUUAGAUCCUCCUCAGCUCCAAGUGAUCAGCAAUGCAAUGAAUUUGCUCCGAAAAAUUGGAGCUUGUGAAUUAAAUGAGCCUAAACUGACUCCGUUGGGCCAACACCUUGCAGCUUUACCUGUGAAUGUCAAGAUUGGCAAAAUGCUUAUUUUUGGUGCCAUAUUUGGCUGCCUUGACCCAGUGGCAACACUAGCUGCAGUUAUGACAGAGAAGUCUCCUUUUACCACGCCAAUUGGUCGAAAAGAUGAAGCAGAUCUUGCAAAAUCAGCUUUGGCUAUGGCGGAUUCAGACCACCUGACGAUCUACAAUGCAUAUCUAGGAUGGAAGAAAGCACGACAAGAAGGAGGUUAUCGUUCUGAAAUCACAUACUGCCGGAGGAACUUUCUUAAUAGAACAUCACUGUUAACCCUAGAGGAUGUAAAGCAGGAGUUAAUAAAGUUGGUUAAGGCAGCAGGAUUUUCAUCUUCCACAACUUCUACCAGCUGGGAAGGAAACAGAGCCUCACAGACCCUCUCAUUCCAAGAAAUUGCCCUUCUUAAAGCUGUACUGGUGGCUGGACUGUAUGACAAUGUGGGGAAGAUAAUCUAUACAAAGUCAGUGGAUGUUACAGAAAAAUUGGCUUGCGUUGUGGAGACGGCCCAAGGCAAAGCACAAGUACACCCAUCCUCAGUAAAUCGAGAUUUGCAAACUCAUGGAUGGCUCUUAUACCAGGAGAAGAUAAGGUAUGCCAGAGUGUAUUUGAGAGAAACUACCCUGAUAACCCCUUUUCCAGUUUUACUUUUUGGUGGUGAUAUAGAAGUUCAGCACCGAGAACGUCUUCUUUCUAUUGAUGGCUGGAUCUAUUUUCAGGCCCCUGUAAAGAUAGCUGUCAUUUUCAAGCAGCUGAGAGUUCUCAUUGAUUCUGUUUUAAGAAAAAAGCUUGAAAAUCCAAAGAUGUCCCUUGAAAAUGACAAGAUUCUGCAGAUCAUUACGGAAUUGAUAAAAACAGAGAAUAACUGAAACUGAAAUUCAUGGUCAACUGCUUUAAAAAUUAAGAUGAAGAUACAGUCAUGAAAUUAUCUGAAAAUGGAUCAUCACAUUAAGUAUUUCAUUACUUAAAAUGUUGGUACUAGCCAUUAACUUAAAGGUGGCGGGAAAAAAGCACAUACUUUAAACAUGUAUAAUUUUCUAGUUCCUUUUUAAUGAUGAUUAUUCUGAAUGUAUUUGCCACUACAUUUACAAUAAAUUCUUUGGUAUCA
rnacentral:sRNA from 1 species